UACGUAGGCAGCGAGCGUUGUUCGGAGUUACUGGGCGUAAAGGGUGUGUAGGCGGUUGUUUAAGUUUGGUGUGAAAUCUCCCGGCUCAACUGGGAGGGUGCGCCGAAUACUGAAUGACUUGGAGUGCGGGAGAGGAAAGUGGAAUUCCUGGUGUAGCGGUGAAAUGCGUAGAUAUCAGGAGGAACACCGGUGAUGUAGACGGCUUUCUGGACCGUAACUGACGCUGAGACACGAAAGCGUGGGUAGCAAACAGG
rnacentral:rRNA from 1 species